AACGAACGCUGGCGGCAGGCCUAACACAUGCAAGUCGAGCGAGGACUUCGGUCCUAGCGGCGGACGGGUGAGUAACGCGUGGGAACGUGCCCUUUGCUUCGGAAUAGCCCUGGGAAACUGGGAGUAAUACCGGAUGAGCCCUUUGGGGGAAAGAUUUAUCGGCGAAGGAUCGGCCCGCGUUGGAUUAGGUAGUUGGUGGGGUAAUGGCCUACCAAGCCGACGAUCCAUAGCUGGUUUGAGAGGAUGAUCAGCCACACUGGGACUGAGACACGGCCCAGACUCCUACGAGAGGCAGCAGUGGGGAAUCUUAGACAAUGGGGGAAACCCUGAUCUAGCCAUGCCGCGUGAGCGAUGAAGGCCUUAGGGUUGUAAAGCUCUUUCAGCUGGGAAGAUAAUGACGGUACCAGCAGAAGAAGCCCCGGCUAACUCCGUG
rnacentral:rRNA from 1 species